rnacentral:rRNA from 1 species
CAAGGAUUCCCCUAGUAACGGCGAGUGAACGGGGAAAAGCCCAGCGCUGAAUCCCUUGGCCUCUGGCUACUGGGAGUUGUAGCGUAUAGGUGUGACUGUCUGGUUUUUUCGCUCACCCAAAGUCCCCUUGAGUGGGGCUACAGUCCUGAGAAGGUGCGAGACCUGUACGGGUGGUGAGAGAACCGGUAGGUUGCUCCUUGGAGUCGGGUUGCCUGAGAUCGCAGCCCAAAGAGGGUGGUAAACCUCAUCUAAGGCUAAAUACGGCCACGAGACCGAUAGCAAACAAGUACCGUGAGGGAAAGUUGCAAAGAACUUUGAAGAGAGAGUUCAAGAGGGCGUGAAACCGCUGAGAUUGAAACGGAUAGAGUUGACGAAACUUGGCGGCAUUCAGCCGGCUGAUUUAGCGGACUUUCGGUCGUAGUCCUCGAUGAGGGUGCGGACGUUUGUAACUGCCGAGUUGGCUGGUGCAUUUGCCGUCGGUAUGCGCUGAGAGCUUCGCUGUCGCGAGCUGCACCGCGUUCAGAGGGCCACUUCGGUGGAAACCUGUGCGCGGGUAGGUUCGUCGAUGGUGAGGUUUGCUUCUGUCGUCUCCGCUAGUGCGCGCUUGGUGUGCUUCGGUGAGUGGUGUUGUGGGUGGUCGCUUGCGAUCUAUUCACAGCAUUGCUUGUCAGGUUCGCCGGGUGCGUUGAGACGGCUUCUCGGUGUGAAAGUCGACCACCUAUCCGACC